AUCCCGCUGACGAGUCUCAAAUAGGACGAGCCGCACGUCCUGGAU
rnacentral:hammerhead_ribozyme from 1 species